UACGUAGGGUGCAAGCGUUAAUCGGAAUUACUGGGCGUAAAGCGUGCGCAGGCGGCUUUGCAAGACAGAUGUGAAAUCCCCGGGCUUAACCUGGGAACUGCAUUUGUGACUGCAUGGCUAGAGUGCGGCAGAGGGGGAUGGAAUUCCGCGUGUAGCAGUGAAAUGCGUAGAGAUGUGGAGGAAUACCGAUGGCGAAGGCAGCCCCCUGGGCUAACACUGACGCUCAGGCACGAAAGCGUGGGGAGCAAACAGG
rnacentral:rRNA from 1 species